rnacentral:rRNA from 1 species
GAUGAAUGCUGGCGGCGUGCCUAACACAUGCAAGUCGAGCGGCAGCGAGUUUUACACUGAAUUCUGGAAGCUUCUGAGUAGUACAGAAGAUUUAUUCAAGAGUUUUGUGUAAAAUGUCGGCGAGCGGCGGACGGCUGAGUAACGCGUAGGAAUUUGCCCCAAAGUGAGGAAUAACUGCCCGAAAGGGUAGCUAAUGCCGCAUAUGGUCUUCGGAUUAAAGCCUUCGGGCGCUUUGGGAGAAGCCUGCGUUGGAUUAGGUAGUUGGUAGGGUAAUGGCCUACCAAGCCGACGAUCCAUAGCUGGUCGGAGAGGAUGAUCAGCCAGACUGGAACUGAGACACGGUCCAGACUCCUACGGGGGGCAGCAGUGAGGAAUCUUCCACAAUGGGCGAAAGCCUGAUGGAGCAACGCCGCGUGAAGGAUGAAGGCCUUCGGGUUGUAAACUUCUUUUAUGAGUGAAGAAUAUGACGGUAACUCAUGAAUAAGCACCGGCUAACUACGUG